GGACCCGCACAAGUAGUGGAGCAUGUGGUUUAAUUCGAAGAUACGCGCAGAACCUUACCAACACUUGACAUGUUCGUCGCGACUUUAAGAGAUUAAAGUUUUCGGUUCGGCCGGACGAAACACAGGUGCUGCAUGGCUGUCGUCAGCUCGUGUCGUGAGAUGUUGGUUAAGUCCCGCAACGAGCGCAACCCUUACUUUUAGUUGCCAUCAUUUAGUUGGGCACUCUGAAAGAACUGCCAGUGAUAAGCUGGAGGAAGGUGGGGAUGACGUCAAGUCCUCAUGGCCCUUACGUGUUGGGCUACACACGUGCUACAAUGGUAUCUACAACAGGAAGCAAGACUGCGAAGUUAAGCAAA
rnacentral:rRNA from 1 species